UUUAGGCUAAGGUGUUAUUGUUCAUGCACAAGUUAUUAUUAUCAUUAUCCUUUUAUGCCACUUUUUUAUUCUUAUUUCUUUAUAGAGUUCUUUCUUUUUUGAAUAUUAAUUACCUGCUAUGGGUUUGAUGACUCCAUUCUUAUUUGUUUUUGGAGCUUUAAGAAGAAGUUGUUUAGGAGUUUAGAGAAAGCUUUGGUAAUAGAGAAGAAAGAUUGCAUGUUUGAUAAUGUAUUUGAUGAUGGUGAUGAUGCGAAGAAUGUUAAUGUUACUCUUUUGACCAAAGAAAGAUAUCAGAUGAUGAUGAUAAAGGAACAAAGUAAAAGCAAAGCACACAAUGUAGAAAAGUUGUCCCCUUUGAUAGUAAUUGUUGUUGUUCCUUGUGUUUGUCAAUGAAAGAGAAAGAUUAAGAGAGAUUCCUAAUGUAAUGCCCAUCUUCUUUUCCUUUUCCUUUCCCUUUCCCACACGUUUCUUGUCCCGUGAAUGUGAACGUGAUGUAUCUGGUCAAUCUCUAUUUUCUCUUUUGAAUUCUCUUGAGGGUACUUUCAAAUGCCAAUGUACAUCCCAAAUACCCACAGAAGAAAAGGCAACAUGGGACUAGAUGCGGGUAGUGGUGGGCUAGUUUUAGAUCUGGAAACAGCAGUUAAAGAUGGCAUUUCGAGUGGCAGGGGCGAUGGCGGCUAGAUUUUUUACAAUUCCAAGAAGGUUAAGGGUCAAGGUAGAGUUCAAGGAUUAAAAGAGCUUAGGCGGCUGGUUACUGCACAUUCCACUGCCACUGCCAAGAAGGCAGUGUUAGAUCAUGGUGGAGUUGCCUUGGUUUCAUCCUCAUUGGGUUCUUUUCUUACUGCUCGCGCAGUUGGGUCUAAGGUAAUUGCAUAUUUUCGUGAAUUUGGAUGUUUAUUUCACAUCCAAAGAAAUGUCAUUAGUAGUUGAUACGCUAAACGAGGGUUUGAUUGAGACCAAGAUUGUAUAGUUCUAAAUCACAUCCUUACUAUCUUCAUUUCCAAGCAUAAGCUUACCAAAACAAUAAAAUGAAGAGAAAAUACUUAUAUAUAUCAUCUGUUUUUUUCCAUGCCUCUGAAGGCAACUGGAUUCUUAAGGUGUCCUUUUUAUCUCCUUGAGAAUAUCAAACUUCUUCUGAUACACUCCAUCGGUUUCACUUGAUAGAAGCUUCAAGAUAUGGAUUUAGGCUACCUGCAGAUUGUGUAAUUAUCUGUUAAUCCAGGGUUUAUAAAGUCGGUGACAGUUUUUUUAUUGCAUUGCCCUGCUUCUGCUUGCCAUGGAGGUGUCAGUUUGGUCUAUGCUCACAACGAGGGAAUGUUUGUUUUCCCUCCUUAUGUUUAAACGGUUCUUUGGGGAGGGAUUAUAUUUUUUCAUUCAAUCUUUUCAGGUCCAGCAUUAUAGAGCUGUAGAUUUGUACGAACUAUUUGAAUUUUUUUUUUUUGGUGGCUAUCAAUGAACAAAACCUUGUAGGCUUA